AUGCUAAAUUGUUCACAUAUCUCAGGGAGUUUUCCACUCUCAGUUGAGCAACUGAGUAUAUUUUGGCGGGAAAAAGAUGACGAGUCAGAAUGGAUCAAAGCAAAUGAUAGUACUGAUCUAGAGGAAGGAUAUGAUAGUUCAAAAGAUGAAGUUUCAUCGGUUUCCUCAUACAGCCCUUCCAAAUCAAAUACAGACUUUCCCAUCAGGAACUUAACAUCGACGCACUCCUUAUCAUCAUGUCUUUCCAUGAAUGAAGCAUUUUAUUCUUAG
rnacentral:rRNA from 1 species